rnacentral:lncRNA from 1 species
CCUCAAGGGAGACACUCUAAAUCCAACCUCAAAUGAAUAGCCAAAAUGAUGAAGGAUGUGAUAAUCUCAGGAGUAGAAGCACGUCUCUAAUGAAUCCCUGACUGUAUCCAACAUGAAUCUGGUAAACUCAAAAUGGGGAAAUAUGUCCCAGUAUGCCAGGUCUAUACACUGCACUGAAAACUACCUCCAACUCAGUAAUAAUCCACUAGUCUAUCUCAGAAGUACUCCGGGAAUGGAACCACUAGGGGCUCAACGAUGCUCCACUAGAAC